GAUGAAGAACGUAGCGAAAUGCGAUAAGUAAUGUGAAUUGCGGAAUUCAGUGAAUCAUCGAAUCUUUGAACGCACAUUGCGCCCCUUGGUAUUCCGAGGGGCAUGCCUGUUCGAGCGUCAUUAUAACCCCUCAAGCUCAGCUUGGUGUUGGGGCCUGCCGCACGGGCAGCCCUUAAAAUCAGUGGCGGUGCCAUCUGGCUCUAAGCGUAGUAAUUCUUCUCGCUAUAGAGUCCCGGUGGAUGCUUGCCAUUAACCCCCAAUUUUCUAUGGUUGACCUCGGAUCAGGUAGGGAUACCCGCUGAACUUAAGCAUAUCAAUAAGCGGAGGA
rnacentral:misc_RNA from 1 species